rnacentral:rRNA from 1 species
UACGUAGGUGGCAAGCGUUGUUCGGAAUUACUGGGCGUAAAGGGCGCGUAGGCGGCCUUCUAAGUCGAACGUGAAAUCCCCGGGCUCAACCCGGGAACUGCGUCCGAUACUGGAAGGCUUGAAUCCGGGAGAGGGAUGCGGAAUUCCAGGUGUAGCGGUGAAAUGCGUAGAUAUCUGGAGGAACACCGGUGGCGAAGGCGGCAUCCUGGACCGGCAUUGACGCUGAGGCGCGAAAGCCAGGGGAGCAAACGGG